rnacentral:tRNA from 1 species
GCGAAGCAACUACAGCGCGUCUGACUCCAGAUCAGAAGGUUGCGUGUUCAAAUCACGU